rnacentral:rRNA from 1 species
GCUAGCUACAGGCUUAACACAUGCAAGUCGAGGGGCAUCAGGAAGAAAGCUUGCUUUCUUUGCUGGCGACCGGCGCACGGGUGAGUAACACGUAUCCAACCUGCCCUUUACUCGGGGAUAGCCUUUCGAAAGAAAGAUUAAUACCCGAUAGCAUAAUGAUUCCGCAUGGUUUCAUUAUUAAAGGAUUCCGGUAGAGGAUGGGGAUGCGUUCCAUUAGGUUGUUGGUGAGGUAACGGCUCACCAAGCCUUCGAUGGAUAGGGGUUCUGAGAGGAAGGUCCCCCACAUUGGAACUGAGACACGGUCCAAACUCCUACGGGAGGCAGCAGUGAGGAAUAUUGGUCAAUGGGCGCUAGCCUGAACCAGCCAAGUAGCGUGAAGGAUGAAGGCUCUAUGGGUCGUAAACUUCUUUUAUAUAAGAAUAAAGUGCAGUAUGUAUACUGUUUUGUAUGUAUUAUAUGAAUAAGGAUCGGCUAACUCCGUGCCAGCAGCCGCGGUAAUACGGAGGAUCCGAGCGUUAUCCGGAUUUAUUGGGUUUAAAGGGAGCGUAGGUGGACUGGUAAGUCAGUUGUGAAAGUUUGCGGCUCAACCGUAAAAUUGCAGUUGAUACUGUCAGUCUUGAGUACAGUAGAGGUGGGCGGAAUUCGUGGUGUAGCGGUGAAAUGCUUAGAUAUCACGAAGAACUCCGAUUGCGAAGGCAGCUCACUGGACUGCAACUGACACUGAUGCUCGAAAGUGUGGGUAUCAAACAGGAUUAGAUACCCUGGUAGUCCACACAGUAAACGAUGAAUACUCGCUGUUUGCGAUAUACAGUAAGCGGCCAAGCGAAAGCAUUAAGUAUUCCACCUGGGGAGUACGCCGGCAACGGUGAAACUCAAAGGAAUUGACGGGGGCCCGCACAAGCGGAGGAACAUGUGGUUUAAUUCGAUGAUACGCGAGGAACCUUACCCGGGCUUAAAUUGCAGUGGAAUGAUGUGGAAACAUGUCAGUGAGCAAUCACCGCUGUGAAGGUGCUGCAUGGUUGUCGUCAGCUCGUGCCGUGAGGUGUCGGCUUAAGUGCCAUAACGAGCGCAACCCUUAUCUUCAGUUACUAACAGGUCAUGCUGAGGACUCUGGAGAGACUGCCGUCGUAAGAUGUGAGGAAGGUGGGGAUGACGUCAAAUCAGCACGGCCCUUACGUCCGGGGCUACACACGUGUUACAAUGGGGGGUACAGAAGGCAGCUAGCGGGUGACCGUAUGCUAAUCCCAAAAGCCUCUCUCAGUUCGGAUCGAAGUCUGCAACCCGACUUCGUGAAGCUGGAUUCGCUAGUAAUCGCGCAUCAGCCACGGCGCGGUGAAUACGUUCCCGGGCCUUGUACACACCGCCCGUCAAGCCAUGGGAGCCGGGGGUACCUGAAGUACGUAACCGCAAGGAUCGUCCUAGGGUAAAACUGGUGACUGGGGCUAA